rnacentral:rRNA from 1 species
GUGGGGAAUAUUCCGCAAUGGACGAAAGUCUGACGGAGCAACGCCGCGUGAGUGAUGAAGGUUUUCGGACUGUAAAGCUCUGUUGUUUGGGACGAAAGUGCCUGUUGCGAACAGUUACGGGUAUUGACGGUACUAAACGAGGAAGCCACGGCUAACUACGUGCCAGCAGCCGCGGUAAUACGUAGGUGGCAAGCGUUGUCCGGAAUUAUUGGGCGUAAAGAGCAUGUAGGCGGGAAUCUAAGUCUGUUGUUAAAAUGCGGGGCUAAACCCCGUAUUGCGAUGGAAACUGGGUUUCUUGAGUGCAGGAGAGGAAAGGGGAAUUCCCAGUGUAGCGGUGAAAUGCGUAGAUAUUGGGAGGAACACCAGUGGCGAAGGCGCCUUUCUGGACUGUGUCUGACGCUGAGAUGCGAAAGCCAGGGUAGCGAACGGGAUUAGAUACCCCGGUAGUCC